ensembl:lncRNA
AAGUUGAAAGAGGAAAGAUUUAGGAAAAAGAAGAGGAAAGGAAAGGAAAAAGGAAAGAAGAGGAAAGAAGAGGAAAGUAGAGAAGAGAAAAGAGAAGAAAAAGAAACUUGAAGAAACUACUGUAAAACCUGCAAAACUAAGAGGAAAGCUUAAUUUUCAAUACAUCUUACACUCCCAGGAUUUUAUGGUAAGAAUUCAAUUCAGCAUUCAUUCCAGAGAUGUUCUUGAGAGUUGUAAAGAAAAGUGGCCUUUCUCUCUUUAAUUUUACUUCUAGAUGUAAGUAUGUCAUUCAUUGCUCUGUCUGGGACCUGUUGAUCCCACAGAAACUAAGUAUUGUUUUCCUUGUUGGAUAGAAAUUUUUUUGAUAUCUGAAGAAAAGUGAAAGUUGUCUAGGGUGAAAAGAGGACAAAAAGCAAGUACAGAUUUUAAAAUGAUUGAAUUUAAUAAGAAUGUAUCUUUUCUGAGCUAAUGCACAUGUAAUUUCCCUUCCCAACUACUCAAAAUGCAGCUAACAAUAUUCUCUUGAUCUGAAAAUAAUAUUUUUACACUGUAAAUCCUUGCAUUGAUCCCCUUGUUUUGUUGCUGAUUGAAGGAUCAUAUAAAAUUCUUGUGAACGUCUUUCUGACAAUCUGAUUUUUUCACAUUCAUCUCAAUCCCCGGUCUCUGGUGUUUUUUCUGCAGAUAAAAAUUUCUCCUUUACAUUAGAUAUUGGCCUGGGAGAUCUAUCCACUCUCCCUUUUCUUCUCAUAGGAUGUUACAGCAGGAAAAACUAGUCACAGAAAAGGCAGGAUAAGAUAUUCAAUACUUACUUUGCUCUUACCAUUUAUUUUUACAAAGUAGAAGGUCUCUGGGAAGAGAUUUGGGUCUGUAAUUUGUCACAUUUUAAGUACAGUACAGAAUUCAAUGCAGUAAACUUAAAGCAGUUGUUUGCUGCUGGAUUCAAAUUGGGCAAGGCAGGAAGGUUACAAUCCCAGCAUCUAAAUCUGGGAAAUUCAACUUUUUGCCAUCAAGCUGCACAUUUGCCACUUGAAAUACUCUGUACAUCAUUAUUAUGGAUUAUUUUAUGUUGUUUUUCCAAAGAUGAACUAUCUUAUUUUUUUAAGUAUUUGCAACCAUUAAUUACAUCUUUCACUCUGUUUUCUUUCAUAUUAUGUUUGACUGUAGACUUAAAAGACAAGGUACCAAGAAAACUGCCUGAUCUAAGCUAUCCUAGAAUAAGAGUCACUGCUGCUUAACUGUUUGACCAUGCUUCAGAGUAAUGAAAUUUCUCAUGAGUUGACCUUUGAGCGUAUUCUUGAUCGUAUGUCUUUGAUCAGGCCAUUUACAAAAUGGCAUAGCAGUGUGACAUACACUGAUGCACCAAGAAAGUAGGGCACAAACUACAUGUCUAUUUUCAGCUGUAGAAAUUACUGCUUUUUCUCUUACUGGCAAUCUUCCCAGUGCAAUAAUGAUUAGUGAAUUAGUGUGUAGCAAACAUUUGUGAUACAUAAACUUUCUCAAGCUGUUACCAAAUAAAAAAUGAAUUCAAUCACCAAGAGGCUUGCAACUCUUCAAUGAUUUUCACCAGAACAGCUAACCUGAUUUUUGCAUUCACAAUCUUGGCUGUCCAAUAAAAAACAGUGAAAGUCAUCAAAUACUCAUACAGAUGACCAUUGAAGUCUUUUCCCACAGCUAGUGCUGUAAAUUUAAAAGAGCCAGAAAGUUGUUUUCCCUAUAAUAGCCUUCCUGCUACAGAAAAGGACAAAAAGUUAGCUGAAAUUAAGACUUACUGAGGUCCCUGACAUAAUUCAGUGGACAUCUUGACUAAAUAUGGGAGAACUUGACAGCAAGUCUUUACUGAAUGAGGCAGAAAUCUAAUUCAGUACACUACACAGGCACAGUCUUUUGGUUUCUAGUGAUUCCUGAACUUCAUGCAUCAUGUAGCAUUCCUAUCUUAAAGAUACUUUUAUUCCAUGAAAAUUUCAAAGUCUCUGUGAAUCCAAGCUAACUAUCAUCAUUCCCCAGCAAACAUAAUCCUACGCUAUGAAUAAGUGUCAGAAAUAUGUCCUCUUAUUCCUUUUGAACUUGCUGCAUAUUAAUUAUACUUCAAACUCAUUAGUUCUGGUUGUGGAGAAGACAGUAACCAACUGUUCCUUGCUUUCUGUCUCCAUGUCACUUGUGAUUUUAUUUUACCCCCCUUCAGUUGUCUCUCCAUGCUGAAGUCACCGUGCGUUCCAUUUUUACUCAUACACAAAUCCCUUUACAUUUUAGUUGCUGAUUUUCUUCGUAUUAUUUUAAACUGAACAUAUUUUGAAAAGUAUAGGCAAGCACUGCACAGGGUAUUCAAGAUGUUUUUCACUUUAUAUAAUUUUAAGGUGGUACAUUCUUUUCCCCUUUCUUUUAUUCCCAUCUCCUACAUCCUAUUUGCACUGCUUAUUGCUGAUAAGAACUGAGUUCUCCUUUUCAUCAAACUACUUUAGUCCCUAGAGUCCAUUCUUGAGUAACAGCAGCUAAUGCAAAGCCUGUCUUUAUGUAUGCAAAAAUCAAGAUUGUUUCCUCCCCGUGCAAAUUAUUUCUCCAUACAGACUGAAAUACUAACACAGAAGCAGAAUUGGGUUUCACUCCUCGAUUUAUUUUUAUUAUGUCUCAAUAAUUUUUAAAUUACCCAUGUAUGUUGUUUUAUUCCCCACAUCAAGAGGAUGUUUCAGGAGGAAAAAACAGCACCUUGUGAAACUCUGCAAGUGACAGAGUGGCAUUAUCCUCAGCUGCAGUACUGUCUGUAACAGACCUACCAAAGUACUGCAGAUGGGUGUCACGUACACGCACUAUAAUUUAAUGCACUCCAGCAAGCUAUUGAACUCUCUUCUAAAAAGUGUGAGGAAAUGUACAUGGUUGUUAUCCACUAAAGUUAGCUCAUGCAAAGAGCUGAUAAAUUAUACAAACAUGGAGAUACCAUGUUUUUUUCUUAAUGAAGCAAUCAAUCCAAUUCCUGAUCCUCAGGGGAAACCUAGAAAACACCUCCAGAAAAGUAAGCAUAGAAGAGUUUUAACUGGGCAGGAUACUAAAAAUCCCAUACUGGAGAGGAGUGUUAGUCUUAAAAUGCAUUAUAAUCUUACUUUUCUCUCUCAACAGUCCCUCCAUUUACUGCUGGUGAUAAAUAACCUGCCUCACUCUUAUAUCCAUAGGAGAUAAUCCCUUUCUCACCUUUCCCUGCUAUUAUUCUCCUCCCCAAAUCCCAACUUUUGCAUUUUACAGUUACUUUUUCCCCUUUGAUGAUGAACUAAAACUAGUUAAAUCCAAGGCAGCUCAUAUUUAGCUUUUUUUCUCAGCUCAUAUUUAGCUUUGAAAUUUUGUUUCUGGGCAUUUAUAAACAAAAGUUUGCCCAUUAUUUUCUAAAUAGAACAGUAAGUUCAGAUAUUUUCCCUACAAAACUUUACCUCAUCAGAAUCUUGAAGGUGGCUUGUUAACUAGUCUCCUUCCAAAUGAGUGAUUGUUUCAUAAGAUGCUAAAAAUUCCAGAGCCCCUAGGUGCUCCUGUCAAGUUUCAGAGUAUGGAGCACUCAUCACCUAAAACAAAAAGAUCAUUAAGCAACUCAGUAGCUAGUACUAACUCAUUGCACUGUAGAGUUUUAAGAGAGGAGUAGAGGUCAGAAGCCUCAUUCCUCCAUUCCUUGUGUAUGUUUAUUAAAACUAAUUUUAAUGAAACAAUCAUACAUUUUGUUAAUUUCUUUGUGUUUUAAUAUAACAUAGCUAAUUCUUCAGCUUCCUGUAGGCUUCCUCUUAUCUAUGACUGAGUUGUGCUUGGCAUUUAAUUCUAUAUGAAGAAUAUCUGGCUACAUGGAUGCUUUCUGCGGGCUGUGAUACUGAGAGAAAAGUUCAUUUUCUUCAGGGAUGAUUACUUCUAUUUCAUCUUGCACUUGACAUAUUUACAUCUUAAUGAAACACAGUGUUCAAAACAAAUUAACCUUAUCAUCAGCACACCUCUCCCUGCUACUAUUACUAUAGCCUAAUUCUAGCAUACACUUUUGUAAGAUAUAUACAGAGCAUUUGUGCUUCUUGGGAUCAGUACCAGAAGGCAGGAAAUAUGCCUUGAGACAUGUUUAGCUCCAUGGAAUUUUCAAUUUCAUCAACUUUUAUUUACAUAAUUUCACAAAGAAAUCCAGUAUGGAGGGCUGGGAAUAUUCAAAUGGUUCCUGUGUGGACUGACAUUUUGGAAGGGGAAGGUAUGUGUGACCUUAGAGGGUUACAGAGUCCUUGUGCAGCACAGCAUUUCGCAGCUCAUUACAGCUUAACAGACCUGUUAGGUGUUGGUCUCUGAGCAGGACUCCCAGCCUGGAUUGCAGACUCAUAUCUGUGUCAUUAAAAUAAUAACAUGUCAAGUAGGGGUUUCGAUGUGUUUGCUUUCUUCCUCAUAUGCCAUGGCAGAAUGACUCUGUGGAGUAAUUCUGUAGCUUGAUAUUUUGUGACCAUAAUCAUACCAAUUCUUAGGACCUGAAUUCUCAAUAGUGGUUGAAAGGAACAGUACUGCUUUGAGGCAGAAAGUAAGAACUGAAGAGUAGAAAUAAACUGUCACUUGUCAAGCAAGAUGUUGAAUCAUGGGGUCCCUUUUAAUAUUUAGCAAGAAUAGAGACUGUUGAAUGCUUGUUUGUACGAAAGAAAUAGGAGAGCACAGUAUUGUCAAUGUUGCUGGAAGAUACAAUGUUGUUUCACUAUUUGAGAUACCUAUCUGGAAACUCUGGGAGCACCACAAGUGUGUAGAAGACCUGCAAAUCAGGCAAUGGCAGCUCUUCGCAACAAAACUUUUCUAACUUGACAGUCACUAACAGUGUAGGUUGCCAUUGACCAAUUCUCAAUUGUUAACAAUCAUUACCAUAAGUUAUUCACAACAGUCAAUCCUUAAAAGUCAUAUCCUGCAUUAUCUUUGAGUUUACAACACCAGGAAGCUAUGUCUUAAAGUCAGAUCUGAUAGGUAAUACAGAGGUAGUAGUUGGUCUUUGGCAGCGUUAGUUGGCAAUACAUAUCACUGUGAGCAGUGCUACGCAGAGUAAAGGAUGUUUCAACUUCUCAUACUGUCCUGCCAGCGAGGGGCUGAAGGAGCACAGGAAGCUAGGAGGGGACAACUCUCUGCACACCACUGUAGUUUCCUUUAAUCUCUCUUCCUGGAGCCUCUUAGAAGAUUUGGAUCUCCUCACCUGACAUUAGCUUCAACCUUCAUAAUUUUAUGGGUGUCAUUUUUCUUUUCUUAAAAAAAAGUGUUUUCAGGGUAUAUAUAUAAUUCUUUGUACUUAUUUGCUCCUUGUUAUUUUUGUUCUUGUUUUUGGCUCGGUAUUUUUUCCUCUCUCACUCUUUUUAAUUUUAGUGAGAUAAAAUAUCUUAAUGCAUUACAGUCACCUCACUUUUGCUUCUGUGAAAUCUUGGAAUAUUUAGUGGAAAGGUUUUAAACUCUUGCUCAUGUAGGCUGUACAAAAGAAAAUGGCUCCAGUUCAAAACUGACAACCAUUAAAACUAGUAAAAACCAUAGAAAUGCAUGUCCAUAUUAUUAGUUUUGGACACUAACAGACUUUUAUUUUUAGAAAUGUUCUGACUGUAGGAUUUGAGCUUUCACAAUUAUUUGCACAGAGAUAUUUAUCUGAAAAUAUCAUUUACAAAGCUUUACCCUAGUUAAAUAUAUGGCCUUGGAUUAUCAUCUUCCAUAAGCAGUCUAAAUUCAUAAAGUAGACAUUUUAGUGAUUAUAUCACAAGGGCUAUGAGCUGAGAUCAUGUACUGGCCCACUCAUAUGUCUCUAGGUAAUUUCUCCUUUUUUUUGUUCUUUUUUGUUGCUGUUGUUAUUGUUUAUUUUGUAGCAGGGAGUCUAAAAUCAUAAAAAAGCACAGUUAUUCCACUUCUAACUUUAGAAAAUUGAACCUUCUUUCUAUUUCUGCCAUUACUGUCAUUAAUAAGCUUCUGUACUUUUUACAAAUAUUUUAACCUACAAUCUUGUUUGUUUCAAAGGUGAAGACCUUGAAAUGCCAUGCAGUUGGUUACAUGGUUCUUAAUCAUGCUAUCAAAGUGAUUGCCAGGAAUUUAAUCUUAUUAAGCAGCUGCAAGUUCUAAAACCACAGCUGUUAAGAACAGUAAUUGCUAGAAACUGGAAGGAAAAUAAACAAACUAAUAACAAACAACAGAAACAACAUCAACAAAUAGAUAACAGCAACCAAACAAACGAAAAACCCACUUUUCAUAAAUUUCAGUAUAAAAUUGGACUUAUGUUUGAAUUCAUCUGGUGACUUCAAAACCAUACCCCCACUUGAUGUGUUGCUCAGGAUUUGAUACUUUCAAGACUGUGUGAAUCAUUUAAGACAAAAAGAUAUUUAGGGGUCAGCCUCUUCUUCUAUGUAACUAGCACGUAACUAGCAAUAGGUUUAGAGGAAAUGUCCUCAAGUUGUACAAGGGGAGAUUCAGAUUGGAUGUUAGAAAAAAAUUACUCUAAGAGUGGUUGGGCACCAGAAUGGGCUGCCUGGGGAGGUAGUGGAGUCACCAUCCCUGGAGGUGCUCAAGAAAUGUUUAGGUGUUGUACUGAGUGACAAGUCGAAAAUACUGGCGGUAGGUGGACAGGUAGACUGGAUGAUCUUGGAGGUCUUGGUGAUUCUAUGAUUCUAAAUAAUAGAAUCUUAGAUUCACUUAGGUUGGAGACAACCCUUAAGAUCAUCAAGUCCAAUCAGCUUCCUAAUGUUACAUGUCCGCUAAAAGCCACUUUCAGAUACCUCUUAAAUAAACUCCCGCAGGGAUGGGAACUCUACCGCCUCCUUGAGCAGUCUGCUCCAGUGCUUGACCAUCCUCUCCAUGAAUAAAUUCUUCCUAAUCCCAUUUAAAUUUCCCCUUGAGCAGCAUGGGACGAUUUCCUUCCUUCCUAUCUCUUGUCACCUGAGAAAAGAAACUGACACUUUUUCUCUGCAGCUUCCCUUCAUGUAGCUGCAGAGGGUAUUGAGAUCCUUCCUCUGCCUCCUUUUCUGCAGAUUGAAUAGCCCCAGUUCAUUUAUAAGCUCCUCAUUUGUCUUGUUUUCUAGUCCCUUCACCAGCUUUGCUGCUCUUCUCUGCACACACUUGAGUAACUCCGUAUCUUUCUUGUAGAGAGGGACCCAAAACAGCACAGUACUCAAGGUGUAAUCUCAUCAGUGCCAAGUGCGGAAGGACAAUCCCUUCCCUAAUCCUGUUUGCCACAGUAUUUCUGAUGUAAGUAUGCCACUGGCUUUCUUGAUCAUGUGGGCAAACUACUGACUCAUAUUCAGCUGGCUGUCAACCAGAACCCCAAGGUCUUCCUCUGCCAGACAAUUUUCCAGCCACACUUCUCCAAGCCUGUAGCACUGCAUGGGAUUGUUGUGACCCAAGUGCAGCAGCUGGCACUUGGUCUUGUUGAAUGUCUUGUGAUUGAGCUUGUGUAUUUUCUAUUCAGAAGUGACUACAUUACUGACUCAAGCCUUAUCUGUAGGUCUUUGCUAUUUCAUUGGAAACAUUAUAUUCUGAGAGGAGCCCAUUAAAAUGAACAGUAUGUUUUAUGCUCAAAGUGGCACUAAACUUGCAAAUGAAAUUGUGGCAAAGUACAUAAAAAAGACAGGAAAAUUAAAUUAUAUGAAUUUAGUUGGUAAGAGGCCUUGAUGCUUUUUCCAAAAUAUAUUUCUAGCAUUCCAACUCCAAUAUUAAAUGUUCCAUUUAAAAUGUAAAUAGAAGUACUACCGUACUUUGACAAAAUGUCUCUAUUGAUUUUAUUUUUUCAUUGAAAAUCUGAAUUUUUGAUAUUUUAUUUAUGUGAUAUGUUUCACUAAUUAUAUCUGGUUGCUUAGUUUUUAUUUUUUUAUUUUUUUUUAUGGAAAAUGAUUUUCUAGUUCUCACAUUGAAAGAUGUAGGUUAACCUGUCAAAUUGAAGUGCACUUUACCACAUGUUUCUGAACUGCUCAACGUGACUUUUCUUUUUCUGGGCUUGCUUGGACUAGUGAGAUGCAAUCAAUAAGGCAGGUAAUAGCAUGUCAUCAAGAAUGCAGUCCACUGAGAGAGACCAAUUUCAAGGAAACUAGACAGCAGGAGUACUUUGAACUUUCAUUGAGCACUGCAGCAGGAAAAACUAACGCAACUUAAUUUUAAGCUGCCCCGAUAGAGUUUCUAUUGUCCAACUAACUGAUCUAUUUAAAUUUAUUUGGAGUAGUCCUCAUCAACUUUGAAGUUAGAUUCUCUGAUGGACAUACCUGGGUUUAGUCUAGAUGGCUUUCUUCCCAAUGUUUCAGUGAGUGAUGAAAAUUCUCCUAGCACUAUGGAUUGUAUUUUAGCACUUUGCUUAUUUACUGAACCAAUUCUAUUGAUUUUUUGUACUAUGCAUUUGGGCACUUGACACUGAUUACCAAAAUGCUUUAUAGAGAUAAUUUAUCCACUUCACAUAUAUUGAGUGGGAUUGUGGAGACCAGGGGAAGUCCUCAAUGACUGGACCAAGAUAAAUGUUGCAUCUUCCUUUGAAAAAGGCCAACAGUUCAACCUAGGGAACUUCAGGUUGGUCAGUCUGACUUUUGUUCCUAGGAAAACCAAGGAAUGAGUUGUCUUUGAGCAUAUUUUUUGGGUGCAUGAAGAAAAGAAAAUUGUCUAGAAAUGGACAUUAUGAAUUUGCCAAGAGUAAAUCCUGCCUACACAAUCUCAUUACCAUCUAUGUGUGAUAAAAUAACUGUACAGAGAGAUGAUGGGAGGACACUGGGUUCCAUUUACAUCAACUUUGGCAAGACUUUUAAACUGUUGCUGGAUUAAUCUUGUAUCCAAAGAAAUGGAUGGACAAAUAGAUGGAUUGAGUGGCUGGAAGGGUAGGCUCACAGAGUUGUAGUUAAUAGCCCAUAUUCUACCUGGAGGUUGAGACAGAUGGACCACAAUGAGGGGCUAUCCUGGGACAUAACCUGCUUGUCUUCUUUAUCAGUGCCAUGGAGGAGCUGAUGGCGGACACCUUCAUCUAUAUUGCAGACGAUUUCAGGGAAAACUCAGUGUGCUUGACAGCGGGGUGACCAUUCACAGAGGCACAGAGAAUUUGGAGGAAAGAGACAAUUUUUUAAAAAGUCAGCAAAUGCAAAGUCUUGCCCCUGGGAAGGAAGAACUUGUAUCAGUACAGGUUGGGAAUGCCUGACUAGGAAGCAGCUCUGUGAGUAGGGCACUAGGGGACCUUGGUGUGUAGUAAGCUGAGUGUGAUCCAGCAGAGGCCCUGGCAGUAUCAAGGGCUAUCAGCAUCCCAGACUGUAUUAACAGGAGCACAAUGUGCUGAUGGAGGAGAGGGAUUAUAGCCCUCUACUCACAUUCAUCGUGUCUAGACUAUAGCAGACUUGUUUCAGAUUUCCUAGUACAUGUAAAACAUCAAUAAAUAGGAAUAAGUUUAUUGGAGAUCAAAAAGAUAGUGAGGGCUGGAUCUCUUGCUCUGUGAGGAAAGGCUCAGGGAGCUAAACUUAGUAAGAGUGAGGAAGAAAGGGCUCUGAGGGGGGUGGGGGGCCUAAUAGCAUUCACUAGUGCCUGCAAGGAAAAUAUUAAGAGGACAGAGUGAGGCUCUUUACAGCAGCGCAAAAUAUAUUUAUCGACUGAAUGAGCAAGGUAGAGAAAUUUAAGGCUAUGUUUUUCUCAACUUCCCAGUCCAUAAAGUACACAUUAAAAUCUUCAUAUGGUCAAGACCUGUUAGUAUCAUGACUUAUAUUACUGAGACCUGAGUGGAUAGGAAGUGCUGUAAGUAAAUGACAGGCAGAAGAUGCUAGCUCUUCAGAGUUUCAUGGAUUCCUUGAAAUGGGAAAGGAUGAAAUGGAAUCCUCAAGUACUUACUUACUGGCUCAUCAUUACCCACAGUCAAGUGUCUUGAUUAUACUGUGCUCACAUCCUGUUUCAGGCCUUGUGCUGUUCACGUGAGGCCCUCUUGAACUCUUUGAAAGCUACAGUUUUGUCACUACUGUCUUAGGCAACAGGAAUUUUAUUAUUUGAGCUGCAUAUGAAGCCAAACUCUGUAAAGAUGUUUUGCAUGAGGACAUGCCAGUUCUGCUCAGGGAAGAUAAAUGAAUUUAUCUGUUUACUUUUUUUUUUUCAAAUACAUUGGUUUUGCAUGCUGUAGGCUCAAAAGUGCUGUGAAAGAUCAUGCCAUUCUAUUUUCAUUGAUUUCUGAAACUUUUUUCUUAAUCUGUAGUUAUCAUUUCCUUACAGAGUCAUCCUCCCUUUUCUUUCCUCUCAAAAACCCCACAAAAAUAUUUCUAUUCAUUUUUUUAAAUAUUACACGAACGGUAAACAUUUCAAGUCCAUAAGUUUUUUCUUUAUAAUCUGACAGCUCUUUAUUUUCAUUUAUCUUUACAUUAAUACAAAUCUAACUGCUGAAUUUAGUUCAAAAUGUCUUAGUGAUCAAAAGUGCUCUUGGCUUUAGACAAUGUCAGAAGAGAGGUCUUUCCACAGAGCUUGUGCUUGGCCAAAGUGUCAGGUGCAUUGAAUAAAAUAUGCUACUUUCUGUGAUAAACUUGUGUACAUGCUUCUAUUCCUUUUUGACACUUAUUGCAGUGAAAAUGUGAAUACCUCUCUAGAAAAAUAAUUUUACAUAAUUUUAUAUUUGAAAUUAUGGAAGUAUCUGUAAAAUAACUGCUAAAUUACUUCCUGUGGUUAAGAACUAAUGGAAUUUUCUUUAAAGCUGCACUGGGCUGUCAGAAGAGAAUCUAUGGAUAUGUUUUUGUUGUACCUUUUUACAUUUGUCUUCAGGGCCUUGGAAAGAUGACUGAUCUGAGCCACAUGAAUAUUUUGUCUGUGUUAGGACUGGGAAAGAUUGAAGACUGCCAGUGCAAGCUCCUCUUGCAGAGCUGGAUAUCAAUAGGACAGGACUUAAACACCUAGGGAAAAGGGCACUCUGCACAUCAGAAAUGGAAGCAGUGCUAAGAACUAUCUGGACCCAGAAGACUGUUUUCUUUAUUAAUUGGAUAUGACAUAGUAAAGCUUUGUUUCAUCUUUGCUUGGGGAUAUAGAAAAGUGAUAAAGUAUCACCCUUCAAAAUACUUUUUAUUUUAGAAGAUAUUUGCAAAGUUUGGUUCUUACCACAGGUAUUUUGAUGACUUAUAAAUUCCCAGAGAUCUUAAUUGUAUCAUUAAUAUAAAAGUGAUAAAAUCUGCAAAUGAAUGAAUGUCUAACCAAUUGAGUGAAGUAUUCAGUGUGUAAAAAGAAUCUAUGACACCGUUGAGCUGUAAGUGAAUAUAUAAAUUAAAUAGCUUCAGUUAUGAAAAGACUUGUGUAAGAAGUAAUUACUUCUUGCUUUCUAUAAGCUGACACACUUAGUAUUUCUUGGCCAUCACAGAUUUUUCAAGAAAUUAUUACGAAGAUGAGAAGGAUAGCAAACUGCUAGCAAGUUUUUUUUUGUUUAGUUAUAGCUCUUCUUUGGAUCACUUAAAAAGGAAAGCUAAUAUUUUAAUUGUAUUCUGCUCAGUAGGAAUGAUAACUGGGUUUAACAUGAACUCAGUUUAAAAUGGCAAUCAACACAGUAAGUUCUUCCACAAUGCAUGUGAAUUAUAAAACUUAUGUCAUCGAAGCAAGCCAUACAUUGCUUACUCUCUCAAUUGGCAUGAGAGGAGCCAAGAGAAAAUACUUUAGACAAUAGUCUGAAAGGGAUUCUCUAAAUAGAAAUGGCACAUAUUUAAUGUCUCCUUAAGGAAUUCAAGAUCAGAGUAGCAUCCCUUCAAAGGGAGUCCCCACAAUUCAGGGUAGAAGAGCUAUUCUUUGUUACCAUGAUUUAGUCCUUAAUUUAAGAUUUGUCUUACUUUUCUCCAGAAAAUAAUAAUAGUAAUGAUAUAUAUAUGAUAUAUAUUUACAAAACAAUGCAAUUGCUCACCACCUGUUGACCAGUGCCCAACCAGUCCCUGAGCAGUGGCUGCCCUCCAGCCAACUCCCCAUAUUUUUAGUUUUUUUCACAUCAUAUCAUACAGUACAAGAUAUCCCUUUGGCCAUUUUAGGUGAGCUGUACUGAUUCUGUCCACUCCAAGCUUCUUGUGCUCCUUCAGCCCCUUUGCUGGCACAACAGUACAAGAUGCUGAAAAACUGAAACAUCCUCAGCUCUGUGCAGCACUUCUCAGCAAGAAGUUGAAAUAGCCCUGGCUUUGCAAAGCUGCUGCUCAGCAACAGAUAAAACAUGAGUGUGUUAUCAACAUUGUUUUUCUCCUAAAGCCAAAACGCAGCCAGUGUCAUACCAGACACUGUGACAAAAAUCAACUUUGUCCCGGCCAAAACCAAGACAAGGCACUCUAACUAAGCUUUUUUUCAGACAUUGAACAAUGUGUAUAAAAAUAAUCUCCUAGCUUUCUUUGAUGGUUUCUUAAUAGUAAACCCAAUCUCAGUGCACAAGCUUGCUCCCUCAGCUCUCCCCAUCACAUGAGCUUCCUCUGCACCUCUGACUAACUCAGCUUUCUGCAGGGAGGAUUGGCUGAGUAGUCCCAUACACCUACUCCCAGGGUCCCAUCCAGACUUAAACCUGGCAAAAAAAUUUAAGUUCUCCAAGAACCAUACGGACACGUUGAAACUUGCCUGAAAAUGAGAUUGCUGCCUUAUGGAUUCAGUCAGAACAUUUUUUGAGGGGGUGUGGAUUGCAAGGGGUGGUGUGAACAAAGCCAAAACCAGACACAGAAACAAAAUGAAGAAUAAAAGUCAUGGUGUACUAAUCAGCAAUUCAUUCAGCUUCUUCGAACAUUGAGGAGAUAAGUAGAUCGUGUUGACUGAGAGAGAGAAAUAUAAUAAAUAAAACAAAUUUCCAGAGCAGCAAAUUUUUUUGUGUCUGAUUCAGACUUCAAAAGCCACAGAUUCCCUCUUUAAAAAACAAACAAAUAGAAAACUUUCCUGUUUAUUUCUCCCAAGGGCACUGGCAGUCCCCAAGGUUUCUUAAAACUAAAGAACUGGAAAACAAACUAGACUGCUCACUUAAUAGACCUUGUUCAUGCUGGAUUGUGACUUACUUCCCCAGCAAAAAAAUUGCCAUUCUUCUUGGAGAGUUUGGGUCAUGGCUCACUGUGAACUAGAACAGCAAAACAGAAAACUAGAUGGUAAGUGCAUCUGUAACAAUGUUUUGCAUAAAACACAUUUUAUAUUGGGAGAACAGGAGUUCUUCCAAUGUAGAACAUAUUCUCCUAUAAAACAGAAAUGAAUAAAUAUAUUUGCAUAUGGAGCUAGAAAAAAUGUGGAGAGAAAAAAAUAGAUUUGUUUCACUUUCAAUAUAGCAGAAUUCCAUUUUUUAGAAUGAGUGUAGAGUGUUGUGAGGUUGUACUCAGUCAACUGCCUUCAAUAGAAAACACUUAUGAAGAAGGCAAUGGGUUUGAUUGUAUUUGAAAAAGGAUGUGUGCAGCAUAUUCCUGUGUUAUUCAUAAUAUUAGUGCUUUUAACAGAUGGGAACUUUUAGUGAGUCCUAAAAUAAUUACAAGAUAAAACCUUCAUAUUUCUGUAUGAAUAUUUGGAUGAUUAUCAUUGAAAAUGCAGUCAAAAGAAAUAUAUCCAUUAUGAAUUUCAGUACAAAGAAGAAGAGAAUAAAUAUAACAAAAUUUCAAGUACUAGAACCUGCAUUUUUGGUUGGGGAGGAGGGAGAAAUUUGGGAGGGUGGAAAUGAUCACAUUCGUUACUUAAAUAUUUAUUUGGAUGUGUACCUCAUAGAAUCAUAAAAUUAUAGAAUUGCCAAGGUUGAAAAAAACCUCCAAGAUUAUCCAGUCCAACCACCCACCUACAAGAAAUAUUUCCCCACUAAACCAUGUCCCUCAGUACAACAUCUGAGCAUUUCUUGAACACCUCCAGGGACGGUGACUCUGCCACCUCCCUGGGCAGCCUGUUCCACCACUGGCCACUCUUUUGGAGAAUAAGUUUUUACUAGGGACACCUUGGUACACUAUGGUGCUCACAGCAUGUCUUAAAAUCGGUAGAUACAUGAGCAGGGAUUUGACUUUAGCAAGUUCAGGGAUUUGACUUUAGGUGAGGUCAUUUUAGACAUUCAGUGAUACAAGGUAGCAGAAAUAUUUGAGAAUGAGUAUUAAGAUUUUAUAUAUUUUAUAUAUUAAUAUUUUUAUAUUAAGAGUUUAUGUUCUCACCUUCUAUCUCCUACUACAUACUUGAGUGUUGCAGAGAAUACAAACUGCUUUUGGUUAUUCAUACGUAUUCUAGAUACUCUACAAAACCGUAUUUAAAAAUAUCUAUGCAAGGUUCUAGGUGAUACAUGCAUCACACUUACACACUUCUCUCAAAGACUGUACAUUGUAUCUUCACAGGAACUCAGUUCUCUAAGACACAUUACCUGGUAAAGCUCACCAAACUCUUAGUUUAACUUGGGGUCAAAAUGUGAUUAGGUAUAUUUUUCAUCAAAGAGCGAUAUUUUACAUUUUAUAUUUUAUCUUCACAGGUAAUCAGUUCCUAAACACACACUACCCAGUAAAGCUCACCAAACUCUUAGUUUAAUUUGGGGCCAAAAUCUGACAUUGGCACUUAGGUCACAUUUCACCAAUUUCAAAAGGAAACCCGGCAAGUGGAACUAGAUUUCUAAACUUUCUUUUCAUCCCUACCCAAAAUGUAGGCACAGUUUUGUUCUGUGUAAUUGUAGACAUAAAAUAUGUCAGUUAGCUCCCUGACUAUUCAAUUGUGAGGCCCAAAUAUGAUAAUGUCUGUCUGAUAGUGUUAACAUCUAUACUUGAUAAUGUGUGAAAAAUUAAUGCUGAAUUUAUUUGGGCACAAAAUAAUAUAUGGUUCAAAAUUGCCUUUAGUGACUUGUCUGAAUCACUUGGAUGGUAUCUGUAUGCCAUUCUUUUCUUCUUCCAGCUCUUCACACAAUUUAUCUUUUCUUUUUGAAUUUCAUCAGGAACAUCUUUGGAAUCUCUUCCCACCCAUUCAAAUGCUAGUUAACAGAGAGAGAAUGCAAAAUUUAGUUUUGUAAGUAUCUUAAUAUUCUCCCCCUUUUCUCUUUUUCAUUUCUGCAGAUAUGUGCAGGUUUAUGUUGGUUUUUCUCUUGUUAAAAUACCAUUUCCAGAGCAAAAAAAAACCCCACACACAUUAAAUUCCCUACCUGUACUAAACUAGUAGCCUUCAAGAGAAAAAUGUGUUUUGAUAAAUAACAGUAAUACAAGAAUAGCAGAAUAAUUAAAUGAGAAUAAUACAUUAGUAUUUAUAUACUUAUCUUACAAACUGUGCAGAAAAAUUAUGUUUCUUAAAUCUCAGGAGAUCAGGAAUAUACGAUUAAAGGAAUAAUUCUUCUCUAUUUGCUACACCAUCUAUUUGCAGCUGUAAUAAUUUGUACAGAGUAUAUAAAGGUCUUUUUUACAUCUACCAGGCUAUUUUCAGUUCAGAAUACUUAAACGGUAGCAUUACUAAUGCAAAAACUCGCUUUGCAUUAUUUGAUAAACAUUUGUGAUCUUAAGAUGUACUUUCUGCUUUCUACUUUUGAUGCAAUGACUUCAAGAUUAAAAGCAUAUAGAUAUUAUGACUUUAGCAUGCAUAUUUCUUACAUAGGAUAGUCUAAAACAAAGCAUGCCUUUUGUGGUCAACAUUUAACAACUCCCUGAAAUGUUUCUUAUAUAAACAAUAAACAAAUAGAGAUUGUACAUAUGUAUAAUGGCAUGUCCCUAUCAGUGCUAAGAGAGAAAUACUUUCUCACACUAAUGUAUUACUGGGGUCCCUACAGCAGCCUAGGUAGAAGACACAGGUGAAAAACUAGUUUAAGUGUUUGGAGCUUAAAAACUAGUCUCUUAACUUUCAUUAACUUCUCUAGUCUCCUGUAUGGUAACUGUUGAGUCACGACCUGAACCACUGAUUGAGCACCUGGGGAAAGGACCUGGUCAGCCCUGAGAGCACAGGUGAAGGCAAAGGCAAAGGAGUGGAGCUUGGCUGCUCUUCUCUUAGACCUCAUUUAACAGCUGACUGCCACUAAGGAAGGAUCUCUUUCUGGAGGUUCCUCCUUUGCGUUUUCUCCUGGGAACCUGGAUCUUUGGAGAUGGGUGAGCAGUCCUUUCUCCUUUCUUUAUAACGCCUUUCUGUAGCCUUGGUCCCUCUGUCAUCGCACCUCUUGUAUCACCUUUCCAUUGUGUUGGUUUUUCUGACUGUUACAUCUGCUAGCAAAGUAGUUGAGCCUUACUGACUUUACACUGCCUGAAUUAAGUCACUUGUAACAUUUCAGAUCAGGUGAGAAAGGCAGCUUCUGACAGGAAAAAUCUUGGGAAUUCAUGAGACUCAACUAGUUUCAGAAUCUAAAUUUACACCAUGACCAGUCUCAGUGCUGAGCAAGUCAAGAUUUUGGAAUAUUUCCAGAGUAUCUGCAUAUGGGCAUACAGUUAUGUGCAGUCAGGUUUUGACAACACUAGGUUGAUAGUUAAGUUUCUGUAAUCGUUGAGUGUUAUUGACUAUAAGUUGCCUCAUUUUACCUCAUGGUAAAAUAUACUACUACAUGCCUUAGCUAAACAGUUUUAGGAGGUCCAUUUUUCACCUGGGACAUGCCAGGAGUACACGGGCAUGGGCUAAGCUGAUGAACACUAAUAACUCAAAACCAUUGCCAUUAUAACUCAGAAAUGUUAAAUACUGUUUGCACCUUUUUUUUGAUCUUGCAACACCAAAGCAUUAUUCAGAUUGAUUCUCUCAGCCUCAGCUUAUCUCCACCUCUAGCUUCCUCUUUUUCAAGCUCAGAAACUGUUAAAAAAAAAAAAAAAAAACAAUGUGAAGAAACACAUUUUCUCAGAGGGAGGCACAUGAAGCAAAGAAGGCUUUAAUCACUACUGCUUUGCCUUUUUCAGAUGGGAGUUAUUUCAUUUAUACAUGCCCAUAGAGGUGAAUGUUGCUGUGGGUGAUGUAACGUGUGAGCCCUGAUUAUGGCUCUCCACCCACCGACUGUACAGCAGCACUCACCUUGUUCUUAGCUAUUCUUAUGCUACAGGGGGCUCUCUACCUUUGUAAGUUGAUUUAAAAAAAGAUUAUGGAAGGAGAACAAAGAGUCUUGAGAAAAUCUCUUCUUGCUUUCUUGUGUUUCAAAGAUACACAAUUUGUCUUGGAAAUAAAAUGUAAGUGUCACUACUCCUUGUAGUGCUUCUCCCCUUUUUCCCUGAAGAGGGGAAGUAGUAGAAACUAAAACUAUAUAAUCUUGACUGUAGUUUAAAAUAGCUAGUAUAAUUAGUCCAAACUAUCACUGCAAGAAAGCACAUACAUCAGUGAAAUAACAUCUGCCAUUCAGUGCCUAAGCUUAAACAUGAUCUGUGCAUCAAAAAACUCUUCAAGUAAUUUCAGCGCAGUUUAAUAUCACUAACACUGAAGUAUGCAAACAAAAGCAGACUAGUUCCAAAACAACAGCAGCAAUAAUAUUCCUACUGUUGUUACUUAGUAUCUAUGGACUUUGUACAGAUUUUUUAGAAAUCAAGCCUCUUGUAGACCCAACAUCAGUAAGACUCAUACUAUGGUUUAAUGUUAUACAUACUGUACAUUACAUCAGUUUAAUUUCACAUGUACUAAAAACACUGUGUGAAGAUUGAGAUUUUGCUGUAUUUUUAGGAUGAUUUUAAUAUUUGCUGCUCGCAGAACUAUUAAUUAAUUUUAAAAGCAUUUCAACUUGGACAUCUGAAAACUGAGUUACCAUGCAAACUAUGUCAUAUCAUGGCACUUUAAAGCAGCAGUGCAAUGUCUGAGACCCCAGGUGCUCCAGCCUCAUUUCACAGUGAUAAGGUACAUGGAACAGUGGCCACCCUUUGUUUUAUGCUUUCACGUUACCAUGGUGGAAUCUAGAGGUGCUACAGCAGCAUGGUCUGCCAGGCAGACUGUGGUAACUUUAUUGCUUUCUUGCCAACAAAUACUGCAUGCUGAUAUCCUUCAGGUCAUUUGAGAAUGGAACAAGUUAAAAUAUGACCUCUUCAUGCUUCCAGUCCUUUCCUGGGUUGUUUUGGUGUAGCUGUAGAACGUUACAAAUUGGGGACCGCGGUUUUGUGACACAAGGAAAAGAGAAUUAGUUCUUCUGCUUAAUUUUAUUUUAAGGGAAGGUGGGAGAAGUAUCGAUCAGAUUACUGCCACUGACAAAAGGCAGAAGGCCAGUCACCUCAUGGGUGUGUAUAACUAUGGGGGAUUCGCUUGCAACCCUCUAUGGAUACCUGCAUCCUCUGCUCCCUUUUCUUCUCUGAAGCACUUGUAUACCAAUGCACACAGCAUGAGGAAUGAACAGGAGGAGCUAGAGAUCUGUGUGCAAUUACAAGGCCAUAACCUCAAAUCCGUCUUGUCUAUGCAACGUUUGUAGUGGUGCUUGGCACAUACUGGCCCCUAGACUGGACCUGAGGAUUGUACCAUGUUUAUUUAGCUAUGUCACUGUAGUCACAGGAAUUGUGCUGAGUUGUUGCUCCAUUAGCAUAGUCUACUUCCAGAACUGCAAAACCUAUCUUAGCACCUCCCGGACCUCUUUUUCUACAGAGAAGUCACACAGGGGUUAGUGCACUAAGGGGCUUAUGCCUAUGGUGCACUAGCUCCUGGUGGGUCUGUGUUCCACUGUAUUUGCCACUGGCUGGCUGCUAGUCUGCAGCUGCUUUGGAUAGUUCUUAAUUUAUAAUACCAUUCAAUGAUACCGUCCACAUAAAAUCCACAUCACUUAAGUAAUACAUAUUUGGAAUAAUUGCCUUUUUCUCAAAAGGGCUAUUUCCCUAGGGCUGUGUUAUCUCAGUGAAGCAGCAUGUUUCAUGCCUAAACUCUACUGUUUCAGUGCAAUUGUAGUACCAUCUUUAAAUGUAGUUUCCAAAUCUACGUGCUCAUCAGGCCUAUCCUGGCACAAAGCUUUACUAUGAGUCAGCUCCUCUGCUCUCCAGUAGUUACCUGUAUUCACUCACAGUCUUCUUCUGUCUUAUCAAGAGAAGUUGCUUUUACUGCCCUUCUGCCUCUUGUACUCUCUGCUGCUGAUUACUUUAAAAAAGGUGUACUUCAUACUUCCUGUCAACAUCAAUAACACAUUUUUGAACAAGACAUUCAAUUCAACCAGAACAGAGAUUGUAUAAAUUCCUGUGACCUUUCAAUGCUUCAGUAAAAUUAAACAUCAAUAAUAGAUGUUUUGUGAUUCUGAUGAGAUGACACAUUUCUGAUUCAGCAAUAUUCAAAGAUUUUCUGUACUGGGAUAAGGACUGUCAGCUCCUGACAUUCCCACUGGUCAGUGGGAAUUACUGAAGCAGUCUCAUACCAGGUUCUGCCAAUGAGUUUUGCUUUAUGGCAUCUGACAUCUGCAGGAGUGCUAACAAAACCUAUAUUUCUCAAACAUAAACAUUUACAGGAUCUCUGCUUUUAGAAGGUAUGUUUAAGUUGUCAUGACAUCCAAAGAACUAGUAGUUUGCCAGAUUUGGUUAUUCUCAUUUUAUUUUUCUCAUAAGGAUAUUUAUAUUCUCAAAUCUCAAUUUUAAUGUCAGGGAACAAAGAGAAAAAACAGGGAAUUCCCUUCUGAGUACACCUGAAUUUCUAAUAGCAGAAUCUUGGUAGUUUUUCACACUCACUGUACCUCCAACUGGCUCAAGAACUUCGAAUGCCUCCAUAUGGUGGAAAAAAUUACACCCCAGCUGUGCUCUUGUGUUCAAAUUUCUGUUAAAACUCAAAAUGUGAGGCUCAUGCCACCCUAUUAUCAAAGCUCAAAAGGCAAACACUCCUUCCCAUGCUAUUUAAAAUAAUACCAGAAUUUAAGUGUGAUUGAUUUAGAACUCUUUUGUAAAUCAGUGAUCUAUGUUAAAGAACUGGUUUUCUGUUGAUUCUGGGUUUGAGCAAAAUCAAGAUUAAAAAAGAUAUGAUAAAAUACUUUACAAUUUACCAUAAUUUAGGAAUAUUUUAACAAGAUCUUUACUGUGCAGUUAUUCCCUAUUAUUCUGUAUUCUAGACCUUAUAUUCAUUUGUACACUAAAGGAACGAUGUAUUCAGAAUUGUUGAUGUUUUAAAGUAUUAGUUCUUUGCUUACAUUCUUGCUAGUUGUUUGGGAUUCCUACUGUUGUUUAUUGGUAGGAAUUUCAUUUUAUCUCAUGCUUUAUUUUUGCUGUUUUCUUUUCCAAAAUGAUCUUAGAGACAAAGCCUGUUAUAUUGCUGUUCAUGUCUGUAACAGUUAAGUAAAUAUAUAUAGUAACCACAUGAUGGAGAGAAUUGUCUUUGUCUUAAGCAUUUGAAACUGUCUGUAAAUGACAUACAUUUUAAAAGAUGAAGGUGACCUGCUGUAUUGCUUACUUCCAGGAAACAAAAGUUUCGGGUAAUUUUUUUUCAUUUUCAGUGGGCAUCUUCUCUUUGUUUUCAUAGUGAAAGUUAAAUGAAGCUAGUAAACAGAGUUUUGAGAAUUUCUCAAACCAGAAAAACAUUCUUUAGCUAUCUUUGAGUCAAAGGCUUGAGAGUAACCAAAAAAUGAGAUGCAGACAUUAUUAGGCAGAUUAUAAUUAGGCUCGCAUGAAUGCAGAAGGAGAGUUAUCUGUUUGAUCCCAUGCAUCCUCUCUGCAGCUGUAUAAAGGAUGGUUACUAUCUCUGUCCCUGCACUCCUAAAGUGGGAAAGAGACUAUGGCCAGCAGUGUUUCCUGCCCAAAUAGAUGGAGUGGACUACAACUCUGUCCUAAUUAAGGCCAGCUGUCACAUUCUACCUGUCACAUGCUCCUAUUUUUUUGAAGUGUGUGGGAGUUGCCAGUUCACCCUUCCCGGAUACACAGAGCAUAUAUGACAUCCCUCAUUGAUGGUCUGUGCCUAAGCUGGAGAACACUGUGCAUUAAAUUCCCAGCAAAUACAUCAGUUUUUCACCAGCCAGUGUCAUAGCUUACUGAACAAGCUUUUAGUAAAGAUACUUAUUUUCAGGCUUGUAUUAAUGCCCACUGAACAAAGUCAAUAGAAAUCAUUGCAUCUCUAGAAGUACCACUCAUUGCAAUAGUAUCAUAAAAAUGAAUCAUCUGCAAGCUGCCUGCGCUUACAGCUGUCUUGCUUAAGUUAUUGGAUGGCACGUUGCCUGCUCAUGUGGUGUUUAGACAUAGUAGAGGGAAUAGGUGUCAGAAAAGAUGAUUUUACUGGGGUAAUUUAAAUAGAACAACAACUGUUAGCUUGUUAGCAAUAAUUUCCCUUUUGGUGACUGAACAAGAAAGUGUUAUUCCCCCAUGAAGCUUUCCAGCCUGCUGGCACGUUCUCCCUGCUCCAGCAUCAGGAAGUUGCAGUGAGUCAGGCUCCAAAAUCGUUCAUGGCUGAGGGCUAUUCUUGCCAGGGAUACCAGCACAUCAAGGAGACAUUUUUCAUCUUACUCAAAGUGUAGUUCUUGCUUGGAUAUCAAAGACCAGGAAAGUACAGAAUAGGAGAUAUUUCCUAGCCAGUGGUGUGUCGUCAUUUCUUCCUUUGUCUCUUUCUGGAUCUAAUUCUCUUUUCAACUGGACUAAGUGUUGUGAAUUUUUUUUUAAACUUCUUGCAUCUUUUGUAAAAACCUCCUCAAAGAAGAUUUCUGAAAAAAAGCAAGCAAAGCCAUGGCCUCUCUUUUUCAGUACUCUGAAUUUUUAUGGAGGAGACACUGACUCCUUUCUCUCAGGUGGGUCAAUUAAUCGCAGGAAUUUGAGUUUAAUUAGCCUCCUCUGCCUGAUUAUUUUUUUUACUUUCCAAAAAAGUUAUAAGUGUAAUUGAAAACAUGAAAAUAAACAGCUCUCACUCAGUUUCUUAUUGUAAUGCAACACAGAACAAACCACUUCUCUACUCCCACUCAAUAUUCAAAGAACAGAGCAUCUCAGAGCACCUGCCACCUUGCAGUAUAGUGCCAUAUGUGAUUAUCCAACAGAUUUAUGUAGAGAUAUUAAAAGCAAACUUAAUGGAGAGAAGAAUGUUUCCUCCUACUGUGGGUUCUGCUUAGCUACCAAAUAAAUGUAUUUGGGUAUAUCCAUGUCCCUUUUGUUGUCUUGUUUAAACUCAAGAUGAAAAAAAACAAGUUAUGUCAGAAAAAGUAAGACAGCAACAUGGAUAAAGAUACUUCAGCACAGAUAUGGAACACUGCAGUGCGUUACUGAUGUUUGAUUUGCCUUCAAAAUCUGAUCAUAUAUAUCCUGAAAUUAUCAUUUAAGGACAUUAAGUAUACCCUGGUUUCAAAAACAAAAAUGUGGAUUUUUGUUCUCUGUAUCUCAGUAAGUAUGAUAAAAUAUUUUCUAGCCAAUUGAAAUGGAAACUAAUUAGCUAAUUUAUCCUUAAAAUAUUUGGGUAUUGAAUUUUAUGGUCAAACCUCAUCAAAUCAAUUUAAAUAAACUAUAAAAAGAUCUCUGGAAGGAUGGUGGAGUGUAUUUGUUUCCCAAACUGCAGGAGUAAAUGUUACCAAAGAUGUGUAUUUUAAGAACAGACUUCACUCUAGUCAGCUGACAGCACUAUAAUGUGUAGAGAAUGUUUCUAUGAACUGAAGGAAAAUCAGUGCCUUUUUCCUCUGAGUCACUUGAUUCCUUGUUGUCAUGUUGGAGGAAAAAAAAGCCUGAUAUGUUUUAUGAACAGCGGCUGUGAUCAAAACUCACCUCUAGGAGAAUUCAUUAAAGAUUUUCCUCAUAUUUAUUCUAAAGAAAAUUCAAGUAAUAAUCAUGUUAUACAUAGGGGAGAUAAUAAGAAUGAAUAAUCUUAAUAUCUAUCAUGCAUUAGCAUACAAACAAUAGACAUCUAAUAUUUUUAGCUGCUUUCUUUAUUCUUUCUCCUUUCUGUGUAUGUGACAUGUCACUGUUGAGUUUUUUGCAUAUCAGCUGACUUUAAGGACUAGCUAAAUACUUGUAUAAUAAAUCAGAACUAUUUCAGUAGCUCUGGAAGCUAGGUGUGUCAUCCAACUGCCCAACCAACUGAAGCCUUGAUGAAAUCCUUGGAGUGUAGUUGUAUAACCCAUAGAAAACUAAUUACUUCAAGUCACUUAAAAAUAAAAGAUAGGUACAGCCUCUGCUGCAGUCCCAAAUCUACAGUAAUCUACCAAUGGGAACUAGUGUUAACAGGAACUUGAGUUAAUUGAUUGAAAUGAAUAAGAUUCAAUGUGCAUCUUGAAAUUUUAGAAUAAUUCUACAGCACUAUUCAUUUUGGUGACAGAGAAUACCUUCACUGAUGAGUUCAUGGCUGCUAAUAAAUAGAUUUUAAUUCAACUACAGUUAUUGAGUAGAUUACCUGGAAUACUGUAUCCAGUUAUAGGCUUCCUGGUACACAAAAACCAAGGAUAUCCUGGGAAGAGUCCAGCAGAGGGCCACGAAGAUGAUAAAGGGCCUGGAGCAUCUCCCUUUGAGGAAAGGCUGAGCAAACUGGGCUGUUCAGCCUUGUGAUAAGAAGACUGAGAGGUGAUCUUAUUACUAUUUAUAAUAUUUAUAUUUAAUAUAUAUUUAAUAUUUAUAUUACUAUUAAGUGUGGGAGCCAAAGAGACAUGGCCAACCCCUUUUCAGUGGUCUGUGGGGACAGGACAAGGGGAAAUGGUCAUAAGCUUGGGCAUAAGAAGUUCCACAUCAACAUGCGUAAGAACUUCUUCACAGUGAGGGUGAUGGAGCACUGGAACAGUCUGCCCAGGGACACUGUGGAUUCUCCUUCUCUAGAGAUAUUCAAGAUCUGCCUGCAUGCCUACCUGUGCAGCCUGCUGUAAGGGGGCCUGCUUUGCUGUGGGAUUUGGACUUGAUUAUCUCUGGAGGUCCCUUCCAACCCAUAUAAUUCUGUGAUUCUUCCACUUCCAAAUUUAAACAGCUUGAGUUCCAAGCACAAAGGAAGAUCUUUUCAAAUAGACUGUGAGAAGUGUCAGAUGAUCAGCUCUAUGGAUUCCAUAGGAAUAAGGAAAUAUAGCGAGUCCUUAAGAGGAUGGAGAAAUAUGGUGGCUCCUUACCGGCAAAGAGAACAGUGCUUCUGAUUUUCAUGACAUUUUAAUGAACUGUUUUCACUACGCUUGACAUUUGUCCAGGUGCCCCUUCCAUAAGAAGAUAUGAGCAAGAGGCUUGCAGGACAAUAACAACUACCAAAAUGGAAAUCUAUAAGCUACAUCAUAGCUGAAUUGUGCAACACGAAUCCAGUCUUGCAUAUUAUGGAGGAGGUGAGAAAGGCAGCGCUCUUUCUUCAAUCUCACACUUUCUCUUCCUGCUAGCAGGAAGCUCCCAAAUAGUUUUCUCACAAAAAGACAUCCAACUCUCUCCAACUAGUUUCUGUUUUUUUCAGAUAAAUGAGGGAAGUAGGAGGAAAGAAUCUAUCAUUGUCCUACAUGCAUCAUAAUUUUUUCAGCAGAACUAUUUUACUUCAUAAAAUGGUGCUUCUUCAGGUAAAAAAACAAACAAACAAACAUUUGUGGAAAUACACCAGUCUACAACAAGAAAUCUGCCAGGAUCCCCAGGAAGAAAAGAGCGUUUAGAGAGAUGAAUUUCAGAGGAGGAGAAUUAACAUCCCAGGAGUGAUGGUUUAUGUAUUGAAAUGCUUAGUGCUACACUGUGUACCAGCUGCAAGUGGCCUAAUGCCAGCCCUGGAUGUAGAGCAGCUUCAAGUGUGGCAUUUGCACUACUGGCUCAGGCACCUAUGCUUUCCAUGUACUGAACACAGAGAGCUGGGGAUGCUGAAGAGUUGGGAAAGUGCAUAAUUCAAGCCUCCAAAGAUACUGGGUGAAGCAUGUUCCUGAAGGAAUACAUUUCUACAAGACAUUUAUCUAGCUGAACUGUUUUGGAUUUCUUCCCCUAAUGUUAAAAUGCUCAAAAUGCUAUUUUGCCUAACCAAUUGCACCUCCAUGAGGAUUCAAGAAGAGUACAUGUACCUGCCUUGCUUGUGUUAGAUAAAAUCUAACACAAAAUCAAUUCCAGAUGACUAGUCAGAUCUUCACCAAAAUAAAAUUACAUCUACCAUGCCAAAGCUAAGUGAGGAAAGAGUGAGGUAGGUAAAAACCAACCAACCAACCACAAAAAAAAAUGAGAUACAUAAGAUCUCAGUAGUGUAAGGACUAUUCAUUUAAAUCUCUGCUCCAGUUGGUGGGAAGCUACGCUCCUGAGGAAGGUGAGAAGUUAAUGUUCCUGCAUGCUCAUGUAUGUCCCCUUGGGUUCCUUCAGCCCACUCCCCCAAGCUGCUGUUUCUCCCUCACACCUGAUGCAUGGUAAGGAGGAGGUAAUGCACAUAGGAAGGGUUUGGUGAACAGUGGCUAGUGCCUGUGUCACGGGGCAAAUACACUCCUCAGUCCUCCCCUGUCCACUCCAAUUAUUGGAGCAAUUGUUUUCACAUAUAUAAACCUGGAGGAAGACUUAGGCAGCAAAAGAGGCCAAAUGUUGUCCAAUUGAUUUAUUACAAGUUCUAAGCAGCUAAGGAACGCAGGGAAGAUGGGGAAGUUAGAGAUAGUAAAGAGAGAAAUCCUAGCAAAUGGUUUACAAAGCAGGGAUAGUCACCACCAGAGAUCCAGUGAAGUCUCAGUCUGUUGACCCACACAGCUGCAGUCUGUUAGAGGGUGUACUUGCUCUACUUCAGAACUUUUCUGUUUUUUAUCCUUUUCAUAGUGUCACUUUGGUUGCCAGGGGCACUUCUUUUUUUCUUUUUAGUUUACCACAGCUUGCUUUAGAUGUCAGGAAGCACUUAUGUUUUGUUUGUCAGAGGAAACAGCACAUGCCCCUCCCAAUUACCUUCCAGGGUAAUUGGUAGUUGAUCUGUCACAUGGGGGGCUGCUAGGUAAGUACAUUGACUGUAUGGUGAUCCUCUCCUCUGAGAUGACUUCCUUUAGCCGGCUUGAAUGCCCCAAAGGAGCAACAGCCAAAAAUGGUUUCCUCUGAUUGCCCAGUCGCAUAUGUUUCUCUUACUGCUGAGCUCACAAUAAUCAUUAACCCCAAAAGCUUGUUGAGCAGGUUAUGCCUUGGAUGGGUGCUGCUGAAUAAGCUUUGAGCCAAAAAUUGUUCCAGCUUCUCACAUCCCCACAGUUAGUUUGCCCACAGCACAGGACAACUGUUGUUCUCCUAUUCAUGCACCCAAACUUCUCUAGACAGCUAACAGAGUGGCCCAUGUCUUAUGCUAGACUAGAGUUAGAUGGUGGCUGAGGGCACUUUUCAAGGAACCAAGACAGCAGCAUGCCGAAUACCUGCCUGGCCAGACAGUCACAACCACUCAUAACGUCUGUUCAAAUGUGAACAGGAAAUUCUUGCUCUGAAGCUGGCUUUAUGAAUUGGACCCCAUGCUCUGAAGUGUGGAGGAAGGUGAAUGCAUUAGGAAUUUGUGGCCACUUCUGUCUGCAGUUUCUAUAUCAGUAGGUUGGCAUUACUAAUACAGUGGCUUUACUGGUAUAUAGACUUCCAGUCACAUUUACAAAAUGCAUAAGAGGCGCAAUUAAAUCCUUGCAUUCUUGAAACACUUCUGAUCUUUUUCAUGUAGCCUCUCUCUCUCCUGACUUCAAUAAAAAAAAAAAGUGGGAGUAAAAAAAAAAUAGAACAACAAGGUCUGGAGAAUCUCAUAAGUAUACAGAGUAUCAUUAGUAGGUGGUGAUAUAAAAAAAUACAAGAAAUGUUCCUCUCCGUUACUGUAUAUAGAUAUGCCUGGUUGGUCAAAGCCUGCUACUACAAACACCCAGAAUAUAAUUGCAUAUGAUGUUGCUGAACAUCAUUAACCUGAUUGUUCCAGUAAUCUGAUUAGUAACUGCCUUCGAACUCUGUUUUCAUGAAAUUUUUCUUACCAUCUCAAGAAUUAAUUUAUCCAUUGCUGGCUCUUGCAAUCACUUGCUUAUCCCAGCUAAGGCCCAGCUGUGUUGUCUGAGCUCCUUGAGCUCUUCUCUGUAUGUCAGUCAUAUGUUACUCUGCAUUGUGAGCUGUCAUUCAUUUUAAACACAGCCAUGUGGAUGGCUUGGGUCAUGUUCUCCUCUCCUCCCCUACCAGGCUCCUGGGAAAUUUCCACAUUCCAUUUGUAAUUUUCAGGAAUCACUGUCCUGUUUCUCUCUUUCACCUUAUUAGAUAGGAGAACUUACAACAAUGUCCCAUCUUAAGAAAGAUGUGUAAACUCAGCUCACCAAGUAAUGUCACCAGUAUCUCAGGCAAGUAUCAGAACUACUCUAUUAAAAAACAAUAUCAGCCUGUGAAAUCUUCAUCUACCAGUUCAAAUAAAUGGAAACCUUAACUUUUUUCCCAUUACUUUAAGAAUAUCCAGAAGAAUAUAGACUGCCUGCAAAAACAUCUUUUGCAAUGAGGUAUUGAUUUUGAGGAAGUUUUUGCAAUAGAAAGGUUUAUGAGAUCCAGAGCACUCCAGUCACUCCUGAUGGCAGAAAGGAAAAGAAGUCUGAAAUGAAAACCUGGUAUUAUUGAUCUAAAAUUGAUGGUUUUGAUAGAGUGCCAUUUUUGAAACCAAGAAGAUAUGGGAUUUAUUCCAGUGUGAAAUACAAACCAAUUUCAAAACCUUAAGAGCUCAUAAGACUGCCAGACUGCAUGGUGCUAAUGAGUAACGCAUCAGGAGGGAUUUGCAGAGCUACAAAGAUUAGACAGUUCUUACUCUUUUUUUUUUUUUUUUUUUUUUGGUCAUAGAAUUCAUUAUCUGAAUAGGGGAAUCUCUGAAUGGCUAGAAGAUGUCAUCUCCAUUACAGCAUUUGCAGAAAGUGGCUAAUGAUGUAUGCUUCUUCUCAGGACAGUGGCAUCCUGAAGGGCAUGGAAAAACAUUCCACCUACAAAAAGCAUCCUGAUAUUCAAGGCUGGCUCUGAGGCUAAAACCACUGCUCUCCAAGAGAAUGGACUGCAGGGGCAGCAGAGGCUCUCCCAUUUCUGAACCUUGCAAUACUGGGCUGUAUAAUGCUGCUAUCCCUAUAUGAGUGAAGGGGCAUGCAAGAAAGAUUAUUCUUGGAGGAUGGCUAAGACACUAGAUGAGAACACAUCUUUCCAGCAGCAGCUGCAAUUGCUGUACCCAUCAUCUUGCAGGUGUUUGGAAAAAAAAAGUCACUGAGCUGAAAUUCUCAGGGGUCUGCUGCUCCCUCAAGCUCUCCCAACUUUUCCUGUUCUGGGAGCAGGCAAGAACGUUCAAAACACAGGCAACUUUGAUAUAUAUACAUAUUUUUAUAUAGAUAUGUAUAUAUACACACACUACAUAUAAAGAUAUAGAAUGAACCAGUCCUUUGUCAUUAGAGACAAAGAUACAGUGUUUGGUGUUUUGACCUCAACUGACAGAUAAGCCCUGCACCUAGUCAUUGGGACUCAUCAUGUCCCAAGCAGGUUGGGACAGAAUCUCAAAAGCCAAAGGGAGAAAGUGCUAAUGUGCUGAGAUUGAAACAGUUUGGCUGCAGCAACCAAACCCUGGUACAGUUCAUGACCUUGUGUGACAUGGGCCCAGAAAAAAAGUGAAGUUCAGACACUAAAUUUUAGAAGAGCUAAUUUUCAGUUAUUAGAAGAAUUAACAGAGGACGCCUCCUGGAAAACUGUCCUUAGGGAUAAAGGAAUAGAUCAGAGCCCUCAAUUCCCCCAUGUAAGAAAUUAGGAAGGGAAGGCAAGAAACCAGCAUGGCUAAUUAAGAACCUGCUGGUCAAGGCAUGUUGUAAGAAGGAAAUGCAUAGGCAGUGGAAGCAGGGACACGUGGUCUAGAAAGAGUAAAUGGAUGCCACUCAGAUGUGCAUGGAUGAAAUCAGGAGAGCCAAGGCAAAGUUCUCCAUCAUAUUUGAAAGUUCAUGACUGUCAGGUGAAGUGACUGGAAAAAUGGAAAUAUUACUCCCAUUUUUAAGAAAGUUAGAAACAAAGACUCAUGGAACUAGCAACCACUGAGUCUCACUUCUGCGUCCAGGAAAUUCAUGGAGCAGAUCCUCCUGGAAGAGAUGUUAAGGCACAUACAAGAUAGGGAAAUUAGUCAACAAGGCUUCACUCAAAGGCAAAG